rnacentral:rRNA from 1 species
UGAUCAAGUUACUGCGGCGCGUAGUGGAUACCUUGGCAAUACAAGUCGAUGAAGGACGCGAUUGGCUGCGAUAUGCCCCGGGGAGCUGUCAAAAUAGCUUUGAUCCGGGGAUUUCCGAAUGGGGCAACCCGGUCCGGUUAAUACCGGACCAUCCCGCAAGGGGAGACAACCCGCUGAACUGAAACAUCUAAGUAAGCGGAGGAAGAGAAAGUAACAACGAUUCCCGGAGUAGUGGCGAGCGAAACGGGAACAGCCCAAACCUUUCCGGUUUCCGGAGAGGGGUAGUGGGACCGCGAUAUGGGACCAGAAGGUUUAGUUGAAGCGAUCUGGAAAGAUCCGCCAAAGAAGGUGAUAGCCCUGUAAGCGAAAGGCCCGAUGGCUCUAGCGGUAUCCCAAGUACUGCGGGACACGAGAAAUCCCGUAGGAAUCAGGGAGGACCAUCUCCUAAGGCUAAAUACUCUGUAUUGACCGAUAGUGAACAAGUACCGUGAGGGAAAGGUGAAAAGAACCCAGGAAUGGGAGUGAAAUAGAACUUAAAACUGCGUGCCUACAAGCAGUCGGAGCCCAGCGCAAGCUGGGUGACGGCAUGCCUAUUGAAGAAUGAGCCGGCGACUUACAGUUAGUGGCAAGCUUAGGGUGUAGAGCCUGAGGCGCAGCGAAAGCGAGUCUGAAUAGGGCGUUUAGUCACUAGUUGUAGACCCGAAACCGAUAGCGAUCUAUCCUUGGGCAGGAUGAACUCAGAGUAAAAUCUGAGGGAGGUCCGAACCUAUUGAUGUUGAAAAAUCUCAGGAUGACCUGAGGAUAGCAGUGAAAAGCUAAACGAGCUCGGAGAUAGCUGGUUCUCCUCGAAAUGGUUUUAGGGCCAGCCUCAAGAUUAUCUGCGCAGGGGUAGAGUACAGUUUGGACUAGGGUCCCGAAAGGGAUUCCAAAUCCUCGCUAACUCCGAAUACUGCGCAGUCAUUGCUUGGGAGUGAGACUACGAGGGAUAAGCCUCGUGGUCAAAAGGGAAACAACCCAGACCGUCAGCUAAGGUUCCUAAAUGUCUGCUAAGUGGUAAAGGAAGUAGAGUCGCACAAACAGCCAGGAGGUUGGCUUAGAAGCAGCCACCCUUUAAAGAGUGCGUAACAGCUCACUGGUCGAGCGAUUUUGCGCCGAAAAUACACGGAGCUAAGCAGACUACCGAAGCUACGGAUGGUCUUCCGAUUUAUCGGGAGAUCGUGGUAGAGGAGCGUUCCAUUGUAGGUCGAAGUCGGGUCGCGAGACCCGGUGGACGAAUUGGAAGCGAAAAUGUCGGCAUAAGUAACGAAAAGACGGGUGGAAAUCCCGUCCGGCGAAAGUCUAAGGUUUCCUGGGCAAGGCUCGUCCUCCCAGGGUAAGUCGAUAUCUAAGCCGAGGCCGGGUUUAACCGGCGUAGGCGAUGGCAAAACGGUUAAUAUUCCGUUACCGCCUGUUUUGUUAACCAGAGGGACGCAGAAGGAUAACCCAUAGCGCUUAUUGGAUUGCGAAUCCCGAAGUAAAUUCGGGAGUAUUGGGUGACUCCACGCUGACGAGAAAAGCUCUGGGUAUUGGGGCAGGCGAUCGUACUACAAACCGACACAGGUGGACAGGCUGAAUAAGCCAAGCCGCGCGAGAUAACUCUCUCUAAGGAACUAGGCAAAAUGGUACCGUAACUUCGGGAGAAGGUACGAUCCGGUGAAUAGCCGGAUUCUCAGAAACCAGGCUUCCGCGACUGUUUAUCAAAAACACAGGUCUCUGCAAACCCGUAAGGGGAAGUAUAGGGGCUGAUGCCUGCCCAGUGCUGGAAGGUUAAGGGGUGGUUUGAGAUCAUAUCAAGGACCUAACCGAAGCCCCAGUGAACGGCGGCCGUAACUAUAACGGUCCUAAGGUAGCGAAAUUCCUUGUCGGGUAAGUUCCGACCCGCACGAAAGGCAUAACGAAGGAAGCGCUGUCUCGGAGAGAGACUCGGUGAAAUUGGGAUAACUGUGAAGACACGGUUUACCUGCAUCAGGACAGAAAGACCCCGUGGAGCUUUACUAUACCCUAAUUUUGGAUUUUGAUGUCGCUUGCGUAGCAUAGGUGGGAGUCUUUGAGGCUCUGGUUUCGGCUGGAGCGGAGACAACAGUGAAAUACCACCCUGGUUAUAUUAGGAUUCUAACCCUGGCUGUGAAGGCCGGGAGACAGAGUUAGGCGGGUAGUUUGACUGGGGCGGUCGCCUCCUAAAGAGUAACGGAGGCGUUCAAAGGUACUCUCAGCACGGUUGGAAAUCGUGCGUCGAGUGUAAAGGCAUAAGAGUGCUUGACUGCAAGACGUACAUGUCGAGCAGAGACGAAAGUCGGACUUAGUGAUCCGGUGGUUCUGAAUGGAAGGGCCAUCGCUCAACGGAUAAAAGUUACCCCGGGGAUAACAGGCUGAUCUCCUCCAAGAGUUCACAUCGACGAGGAGGUUUGGCACCUCGAUGUCGGCUCAUCGCAUCCUGGAGCUGGAGCAGGUUCCAAGGGUUGGGCUGUUCGCCCAUUAAAGCGGUACGUGAGCUGGGUUCAGAACGUCGUGAGACAGUAAAAAAUGACCUUGCUGUCUAUAAAUUCGACUAUAUGCUGGGAAGUCUGGUAUAAUCAAAAUUCAUGCCAGAUUAUCAGCAGGAAAGGCUAGCAACAGGUUAUUAUAUCGCUGGCUUUGUUGAUGGCGAAGGAAGUUUUCAUGUUGCUUUUGAAAAAAGAUCAAGCGUUAAGCUUGGCUGGCAAAUAAUUCCGGAAUUUCAUGUCAGUCAGCAUCAAAGUAAUUUAAAGCUGCUUCGCAAUAUUCAACGGUUCCUUGGUUGCGGGACAAUUCGUCCCAAUCAUCAAGGUAGCAAGCGGGAUAAGACCUAUGUCUUGGUUGUCAGAAAUCGAAAAGAACUGGCAAACAUGAUAAUUCCUUUCUUUAUCAGGUUUAAGCUUCGUUCAACAAAGAAGAUGGAUUUUGAUAAAUUUAGAGCGGUUUUGAGCUUAUUGAACAAAAAUCGUCAUAAAACAAGAUCGGGUUUUGAUCGGAUUGUUGAGCUGGCUUAUUCAAUGAAUAAAGGGGGAAAAUAUCGUAAAAGAAACAAAGAAAAGUUGCUGGAAUCCUCAGAGACUAUACGUCGAACGGCCGCGCCAAGCGGCUAAAGAUAUAGUCCGAACUGCAUGGUGACAUGCAGAGCCGGUUAGAAAUAAUUGGCCUCUUGAUCAAAAUGAUCAGGAAGUAACAUAAUUGUCGGUCCAUAUCCGGUGCAGGCGCAAGGGAAAUUGAGAGGAGUCCUUCCUAGUACGAGAGGACCGGAAGGAACAGACCUCUAGUGUACCAGUUGUGGGGCCAACCCGCAAACGCUGGGUAGCUAUGUCUGGCAGGGAUAAAUGCUGAAAGCAUCUAAGCAUCAAGCCCACCUCAAGAUUAGUUUCCCCAUCUUCGUAGCAAUGCGAAGGGUAAGACCCCUUGCAGAACACAAGGUUGAUAGGCUGGAGGUGUAAAGGUGGCAACAUCUGAGCUGACCAGUACUAAUCGGUCGAGGACUUGAUCUUUCU